GAGGGUGAAGCUCAGUGGUUUAGAGUGCAUGCUUAGCAGGCAUGAGGUCCUGGCUUCAAUCCCCAGUACCUCCU
rnacentral:tRNA from 1 species